rnacentral:rRNA from 1 species
UACGUAGGGGGCGAGCGUUAUCCGGAUUCACUGGGUGUAAAGGGAGCGUAGACGGCCGAUCAAGUCUGGAGUGAAAGCCCGGGGCCCAACCCCGGGACUGCUCUGGAAACUAGUGGGCUAGAGUGCUGGAGAGGUAAGUGGAAUUCCUAGUGUAGCGGUGAAAUGCGUAGAUAUUAGGAGGAACACCAGUGGCGAAGGCGGCUUACUGGACAGUGACUGACGUUGAGGCUCGAAAGCGUGGGGAGCAAACAGG